GAUGUGGAGGGGGCGGCCUAAGAAGCAGGAGAAAAGGCUUCAUCAUGCUUUAGAGAGAGGCCUUGCCGGGAUAGGGAGAGCCGACAAAAAUGCAGAAGGAAAAGAAAGAUGAGUCAGAGUAAGAUAUUUUCAACGUGGGUACCGGAGGGAUCCUGUGCGAACCAAGUCAGAUGACGUUCCUUCUCAGCUCAGACGUCUCCCCUGAUCAAAAGACAGAUGGUAGCCACAUGCUGUGGGCCCCACCCCAGCCCAGGAAGCUUCAGUGUUAUCCUCAGGGACGCCGAGCCAGAUCCCUGCAUAUAAAGAAACGACUUGAUUAACAAGAGUCACAGAAGUGCUGACCGAGACCUGCUAUGUGCCAGGCGCCCCGCGAGAUGCCAGGGACCCGCCGGUGGACCUGACAAAGCUCCCUGGCCUUGCGGAGCUGACCCUCCAGCAGGCACGCAAGAUCAAUAAGUGAUAAGCCUAAGCAUUGGUAAAUUUUAUGACAUGUCAGAGCUGCGAUGUCUAGCAAGUAUCCGCCGGCCACACAUGGCGCAUCCCAAGUGAGAGGGGCUGAGUCAUACACACGCCAGGUUUCAAAGACUUGGUAUGAAAGA